AGUGAACGCUGGCGGUAGGCCUAACACAUGCAAGUCGAACGGCAGCACAGUAAGAGCUUGCUCUUACGGGUGGCGAGUGGCGGACGGGUGAGGAAUACAUCGGAAUCUACUUUUUCGUGGGGGAUAACGUAGGGAAACUUACGCUAAUACCGCAUACGACCUACGGGUGAAAGCAGGGGCUCUUCGGACCUUGCGCGAUUGAAUGAGCCGAUGUCGGAUUAGCUAGUUGGCGGGGUAAAGGCCCACCAAGGCGACGAUCCGUAGCUGGUCUGAGAGGAUGAUCAGACACCCUGGAACGGAGACACGGUCCAGACUCCUACGGGAGGCAGCAGUGGGGAAUAUUGGACAAUGGGCGCAAGCCUGCUCCAGCCAUACCGCGUGGGUGAAGAAGGCCUUCGGGUUGUAAAGCCCUUUUGUUGGGAAAGAAAAGCAGCAGGUUAAUACCCCGCUGUUCUGACGGUACCCAAAGAAUAAGCACCGGCUAGCUUCGUG
rnacentral:rRNA from 1 species